rnacentral:rRNA from 1 species
GACGUAGGGGACGAGCGUUGUCCGGAUUCAUUGGGCGUAAAGCGCGCGUAGGCGGUUACGCAAGUCGGUUGUGAAAAUCCGGGGCUCAACCCCGGACCUGCAUCCGAUACUGCGUGACUAGAGGUAGGUAGGGGAGAUCGGAAUUCCUGGUGUAGCGGUGAAAUGCGCAGAUAUCAGGAAGAACACCAAUGGCGAAAGCAGCUCUCUGGGACGGUACUGACGCUGAGACGCGAAAGCGUGGGGAGCGAACAGG